GAUGAAGAACGUAGCGAAAUGCGAUAAGUAAUGUGAAUUGCAGAAUUCAGUGAAUCAUCGAAUCUUUGAACGCACCUUGCGCCCUUUGGCCAUUCCAAAGGGCAUGCCUGUUUGAGUAUCAUGAACACCUCAACUCUUCAUGGUUUUCCAUGAUGAGCUUGGACUUUGGGGGUCUUGCUGGCCUGUGGGUCGGCUCCUCUCAAAUGAAUCAGCUUGCCGGUUUUUGGUGGGCAUCACAGGUGUGAUAACUAUCUACGCUUGUGGUUUUCCACCAGGGUAACCUUCAGCAGUGGAGGUUCACUGGAGCUUACAAAUGUCUCUCCUCUGUGAGGACAGCCCUUUGAAUGUUUGAUCUCAAAUCAGGUAGGACUACCCGCUGAACUUAAGCAUAUCAAUAAGCGGAGGA
rnacentral:misc_RNA from 1 species